rnacentral:rRNA from 1 species
GGUGAACCUGCAGAUGGAUCAUUUCGAUGAAAACCUUUUUUCUGAGGUGUGGCUCGCACCUGUCUAACUAAACUUGAGCUACCUUUUUUCAACACGGUUGCAUCGGUUGAGAGCCUGUCAAAGAACGCGCGAAAGUGUGUUUUCUUUGGUUCGGCCCUCGACACUUUACACAAACACUUUUGAUCUUCUAGGAUUUGAAUGACAAUUUAUGACUGGUAAUUCGGUCGUUUAAAUUUAAAAACAACUUUUGGCAACGGAUCUCUUGGUUCUCCCAUCGAUGAAGAACGCAGCGAAUUGCGAUAAGUAAUGUGAAUUGCAGAAGUGAAUCAUCGAAUCUUUGAACGCACCUUGCGCUCCCUGCAGAUCUAAUCUGGGGAGCAUGCCUGUUUGAGGGCCGCGAAUUGUUUCGAACCACUCUUUUUUUAAUUAAGAAGGGUCGGAUCGGUAGUGAGGGUUUUUGCCAUUAACCGUGGCUCCCUCGAAAUACAUUAGCGCAUCCAUUUGAUAGGCAAGAACGGACGAAAGCUCAUCUUUCGCUCUCUCUUCCCUGCCGGGUUUUGAUAAUAUCAGGACUUCGGAGGCGGAGAAAGGGCAAGAGCUGGACGCAACGAUCUUGCUGUUUGGCGUGCUUCUGAACCCCGCCCAUGCUUUGCUUCGGCAAAAGAAGGGAUUUUAAUAAUUCAUCGGCCUCAGAUUGGUAGGACUACCCGCUGAACUUAAGCAUAUCAAUAAGCGGAGGA